CGAGACGACGCUGGCGGCGUGCCUAAUACAUGCAAGUCGAGCGAAGUUUUUCUGGUGCUUGCACCGGAAAACUUAGCGGCGAACGGGUGAGUAACACGUAAAGAACCUGCCUCAUAGACUGGGACAACUAUUGGAAACGAUAGCUAAUACCGGAUAACAGCAUUAACUGCAUGGUUAAUGUUUAAAAGUGGUUUUGCUAACACUAUGAGAUGGCUUUGCGGUGCAUUAGCUAGUUGGUGGGGUAAAGGCCUACCAAGGCGACGAUGCAUAGCCGACCUGAGAGGGUGAUCGGCCACACUGGGACUGAGACACGGUCCAGACUCCUACGGGAGGCAGCAGUAGGGAAUCUUCCGCAAUGGGCGAAAGCCUGACGGAGCAACGCCGCGUGAGUGAAGAAGGAUUUCGGUUCGUAAAGCUCUGUUGUUAGGGAAGAAUGAUUGUGUAGUAACUAUACAUAGUAGAGACGAUACCUAACCAGAAAGUCACGGCUAACUACGUG
rnacentral:rRNA from 1 species